AUUGCACUGAGAAGCUCCGCCCCCUCACACUUCUCUCCAAUUUUUUCGAGUCCGCCAUUUUUUCUUCAUCGCUUCACUUCGGCAAGUGGCUGCUACACGUCUCAAGUAACGUGCAGGCAACAAAAUCUGCCAUAAUCGUUCCUGAGCACAGCAGUGCUGGUAGAAAAUGCUACUAAAAGUUAAAAUAGCCAACGUCCAAAAGUUUGUUCGAGUUCCAGAGCUGAAUCUGAGAG